rnacentral:rRNA from 1 species
AUUAGUCUUUUAAUUGAAGACUUGUAUGAACGGUUGGACGAAAAGUAAACUGUCUUUGUUUGAGCAAAUUGAAUUUAACUUUUAAGUGAAAGGGCUUAAAUGAUCUAGAGGGACGAUAAGACCCUAUAAAACUUUACAUUAAAGUUAUUUAAAAAUUAUUUAGGUAAUAAGGUUUAUAAGUAAUAAAAUGUUUUGUUGGGGCGACAAGAAUAUAAUUAAUAUAACUGUUCUUAAAUGUAAUCAAAAAUUUUUGAUUUAAUGAUCCUAAGUAAAGAUAUUAGAAUAAGUUACUUUAGGGAUAACAGCGUAAUUUUUUUAGAGAGUUCAUAUCGAUAAAAGAGUUUGCGACCUCGAUGUUGAAUUAAAGAAUCUUUAUAGCGGAGAAGUUAUAGGAGAGGGUCUGUUCGACCUUUAAAUCUUUACAUGAUUUGAGUU